UGUUAAACUAUAUGUUUAACUAUCAGAAAAUUCUGAUCCAUAAACUUACUAUCAAACAAGAUGUUUAAUCAUCAGAAGAUUCAGAACUAUAAAGUGAUUAAAGUAGAUUGGAAUAAGAGUGAUGAUACGGCACUGAAAGGCUUAAAGAAGUGGCAUAUUUUAUCAAUUAAAUUAAAUUAAGAAAACAUUGUUUUAUAUAUUCGGGUUUAUCCCAUAUUAAAGCUAC
rnacentral:lncRNA from 1 species